UUAAUACUGGAUAGAUCAAAGAUACUGGAAUGUUCUCUGGUCUAAAGCUCCGGCGCCCAAGGAUGGGUCUGCGGCCUAUCAGGUAGUAGUGGGUGUAACGUACCUACUAGCCUGCGACGGGUACGGGUUGUGAGAGCAAGAUCCCGGAGAUGGAUUCUGAGACAUGAAUCCAGGCCCUACGGGGUGCAGCAGGCGCGAAACCUUUACACUGCGGGAAACCGCGAUAAGGGGACCCCGAGUGCCAGCACCUAGUGCUGGCUGUCCCGCUGUCCAAACAACAGCGGUUAGCAAGGGCCGGGCAAGACCGGUGCCAGCCGCCGCGGUAACACCGGCGGCCCGAGUGGUAGCCGCUAUUAUUGGGUUUAAAGGGUCCGUAGCCGGCCUGUUAAGUCUCUUGGGAAAUCUGGCGGCUCAAUCGUCAGGCGUUCA
rnacentral:rRNA from 1 species